rnacentral:rRNA from 1 species
UACGUAGGGUGCGAGCGUUGUCCGGAAUUAUUGGGCGUAAAGAGCUUGUAGGCGGUUUGUCGCGUCUGCCGUGAAAAUCCGGGGCUCAACCCCGGACUUGCGGUGGGUACGGGCAGACUAGAGUGUGGUAGGGGAGACUGGAAUUCCUGGUGUAGCGGUGAAAUGCGCAGAUAUCAGGAGGAACACCGGUGGCGAAGGCGGUUCUCUGGGCCUUACCUGACGCUGAGGAGCGAAAGCAUGGGGAGCAAACAGG